UUUAGUCGGUGUACAGGUGGUGCAUGGCUGUCGUCAGCUCGUGUCGUGAGAUGUUGGGUUAAGUCCCGCAACGAGCGCAACCCUCGUCCUAUGUUGCCAGCAAUUCGGUUGGGGACUCAUAGGAGACUGCCGGGGUCAACUCGGAGGAAGGUGGGAAUGACGUCAAGUCAUCAUGCCCUUUAUGUCCAGGGCUUCACGCAUGCUACAAUGGCCGGUACAAGGGGCUGCGAUCCCGUAAGGGUGAGCGAAUCCCAAAAAGCCGGUCUCAGUUCGGAUUGGGGUCUGCAACUCGGCCCCAUGAAGUCGGAGUCGCUAGUAAUCGCAGAUCAGCAACGCUGCGGUGAAUACGUUCCCGGGCCUUGUACACACCGCCCGUCAC
rnacentral:rRNA from 1 species